CAMMSAYAUAGGUWAGUCGGUAUAAAUGAGUGAAGAGGUGUAAAUCUAUAAAGAAAAUUAAUUUAUUAUGGAGAAGUGGAAUUUGUACAUAAAAAAUUGUAUUAGUUAUUUCUUUUGUUUGAUCUUCGAAAACUAAAUAAGAGACCGGGAUUAGAUACCCCGUUAUUUUUUUUAUAAAUUUUGAUUGGGUUCAAUUUACCUGAGUAUUACGGGUUAAUAAUUUAUAUGAAUAGGUAUUGAAUAUUUGUAAAAUUAUUUGUCACUUAAAACUUAAAAAACUUGGCGGUGCUUUAUUUCCUUCCAGGGGAACCUGUCCUGUAAUCGAUGAUCCACGAUUUAACUUACUUUUUUUUGAAUUAUUAAUAAUUAAAUUAUCAGUUUGUAUACCGUCGUCGUCAGAUUACCUUUAARAGUAAAAAAGUUGUCAUUUAAAAUAUAAAGUGUUGCUUCGGUAGAUUUUAACAUUUUUGGCUUCUGAUGUCARAUCAAGGUGCAGCUCAUAGAAAAGUAGAGAUGGGUUACAAUAUAAAUUUUAUAUAAUGGAUGCUAAUGUGUAAUAAUUAGAUGAAAGUGGACUUGGGAGUAAUAUAAUUUAUAUUUUUAUUUAAAUUAGAUAGUUUAUGUGAAUAUAGGUACUAAAGUGCGUACACAUCSSSSSCCCMYCYYYUCA
rnacentral:rRNA from 1 species